GACGAACGCUGGCGGCGUGCUUAACACAUGCAAGUCGAACGGAAAGGCCCUGCUUUUGUGGGGUGCUCGAGUGGCGAACGGGUGAGUAACACGUGAGUAACCUGCCCUUGACUUUGGGAUAACUUCAGGAAACUGGGGCUAAUACCGGAUAGGAGCUCCUGCUGCAUGGUGGGGGUUGGAAAGUUUCGGCGGUUGGGGAUGGACGCGCGGCUUAUCAGCUUGUUGGUGGGGUAGUGGCUUACCAAGGCUUUGACGGGUAGCCGGCCUGAGAGGGUGACCGGCCACAUUGGGCCUGAGGUACGGCCCAGACUCCUACGGGGGGCAGCGGUGGAGAAUAUUGCACAAUGGGCGGAAGCCUGAUGCAGCAACGCCUCGUGCGGGAUGACGGCCUUCGGGUUGUAAACCGCUUUCGCCUGUGACGAAGCGUGAGUGACGGUAAUUGGUAAAGAAGCACCGGCUAACUACGUG
rnacentral:rRNA from 1 species